rnacentral:rRNA from 1 species
UGCCCGAAUCCUGACACAGGGAGGUAGUGACAAGAAAUAACAAUACAGGGCUACUUCUAGUCUUGUAAUUGGAAUGAGUACAACUUACAUCUCUUCACGAGGAUCAACUGGAGGGCAAGUCUGGUGCCAGCAGCCGCGGUAAUUCCAGCUCCAGAAGCGUAUAUUAAAGUUGUUGCAGUUAAAACGCUCGUAGUCGGGUUUCGGGUCGGGCCGAGCGGUCUGCCGAUGGGUAUGCACUGUUUGGCGCGGCCUUCUUUCCGGAGACCGCGGCUACUCUUAACUGAGCGGGCGUGGGAGACGGAUCGUUUACUUUGAAAAAAUCAGAGUGUUUCAAGCAGGCAGCUCGCUCUUGCAUGGUACAGCAUGGGAUGAUUGAAUAGGACUCCGGUGCUAUUUUGUUGGUUUCGAACACCAGGAGUAAUGAUUAACAGGGACAGUCAGGGGCACUCGUAUUCCGUCGAGAGAGGUGAAAUUCUCAGACCAAUGGAAGACGAACCACUGCGAAAGCAUUUGCCAGGGAUGUUUUCACUGAUCAAGAACGAAAGUUAGGGGAUCGAAGACGAUCAGAUACCGUCGUAGUCUUAACCAUAAACCAUGCCGACUAGGGAUUGGAGGGUGUUCGUUUCGACCUCUUCAGCACCUUACGGGAAACUAAAGUCUUUGGGUUCCGGGGGGAGUAUGGUCGCAAGGCUGAAACUUAAAGGAAUUGACGGAAGGGCACCACCAGGAGUGGAGCCUGCGGCUUAAUUUGACUCAACACGGGGAAACUUACCAGGUCCAGACAUUGUUAGGAUUGACA